ACAGCAGUAGCCGCGGGAAUACGUAGGUGGCAAGCGUUGUCCGGAAUUAUUGGGCGUAAAGGGCUCGCAGGCGGUUUCUUAAGUCUGAUGUGAAAGCCCCCGGCUCAACCGGGGAGGGUCAUUGGAAACUGGGAAACUUGAGUGCAGAAGAGGAGAGUGGAAUUCCACGUGUAGCGGUGAAAUGCGUAGAGAUGUGGAGGAACACCAGUGGCGAAGGCGACUCUCUGGUCUGUAACUGACGCUGAGGAGCGAAAGCGUGGGGAGCGAACAGGAUUAGAUACCCCUGUAGUCCCUGUCUCUUAUAA
rnacentral:rRNA from 1 species